UACAGAGGUCCCGAGCGUUGUUCGGAUUCAUUGGGCGUAAAGGGUGCGUAGGCGGCGGGGCAAGUCUGAUGUGAAAUCCCGGGGCUCAACCUUGGGACUGCAUUGGAUACUGCCUUGCUAGAGUACUGGAGAGGAAACUGGAAUUUACGGUGUAGCAGUGAAAUGCGUAGAGAUCGUAAGGAAGACCAGUGGCGAAGGCGAGUUUCUGGACAGUUACUGACGCUGAGGCACGAAGGCCAGGGGAGCAAACGGG
rnacentral:rRNA from 1 species